CUCGUACCACCUCUUAGUACUCACUCACCAACCCGUCCCCUCCUGGAAUGUUUAAGUCUGACUCCCUCCCAGGCCUGGAGGCGACAUAGUUCAGGAAAACCCACCACUGAGAACAAGAAACACAUCAAAAUAUCCUAGAAUACUUCCGUGUGAAGAUAUUAGAACACUAAACGGGCAGAGAGGGAUCAUGAGAUCAGGAUCUGGAAGAAUUAAACCCAGAGGAUGAUGGAGUACCAGGGACCCCUUCUCCCCAAAACAGGAAUUGCCAAUUUUGAUAUUUAAAAAAUGAAAGGCUAAGAGCUGAGCCAGAGCUUUUCAAAGACUCCUGAGUCUAAUAGGAAAGUCUAAUCGGAGUUCAGAGUGCCAACCAGAGACCCGGUGAAUCUCCCAGGCUGUCAGCUGAAAUACCCUCCAACUAGGAAUGAGCCAUCAUCACAAGGUCUAAAACCCAGCUUCCAGCCACCCCAAGUCAUCAGCAGCCUCUGAUCGGAUUAAAGCUAUCUUGGAUUCCUGAGCUCUCUAAGACCUGAGAUAAAGUAAACCCUCAUUAGAGGGAGAUAACAUCGCCUUAAGCCUCAAACAACUUCCAAGAAUUCUCACAUACAGUGCCUGACAUUCAGUCAAAAAUAACCCAGAAUUUAAGGCAAGGAAAAUGAUCAAUAUCAAAAGAAAAUAGUUGAUGAUAGAAAUAAAUACAAGAGCUGGAAGUGUGGCACAUGUUUGUAAUCUCAGGGAGGCUGAGACAGGAGGACUGCAAGUUCAAGGCCAGCCUCAGCAAUUUAGCAAGGCCCUGAACAACUUAAAUGAAAACUAAAAAAAUCGGGGGAUGUAAUUCAGUGGUAAAUUGUCCCUGAGUUAAAUCCUCAGUAGAAGAAGAAGGAGGAGGAGGAGGAGAAGGAGGAGAAGAGGAAGAAGAGGAAGAAGAAGAAAAAAGAAAGAAACACAAUAUGAUUCAGAAAGUAAUGGAUCACAGAUUAUAUAACAUGUUAGUAUGCUAAAAAUGCAAAUAGAAAAAUAAUAACUGAAAAGUUUCCAAGGCUAAUGAAAGGCAUCAAGCCACAGAUCCAAAAGCACCACAAAUCACAAGCAGUAUACAUAGGAGGAAAACCACAGAGCUACAUUAUGAUAAACACAAAGAGAAAUUCCUGAAGCAGCCAGAGGAAAAACACAAACUAUCCUCAGGGGACAACAAUAAGUAAUUAUAAGACUUGCAACAAACAUGACAAAACUCUGAAGACAAUGGGAUGGAUCUUUAAUGUGAUUAAAGAAGUAAGGUCAAGCGCACAGUGACGUACAUCUCUAAUCCCAGCAAUUAAGGAAUCUGAGGCAGGAGGAUUGCAAAUUCCAGGUCAGCCUCCAGAGUUUAGUGAGGCCCAAAGCAAUUUAGAGAGACCCUAUCUCAAAAUAGAAAGGAUUAGGGAUGUAACACAGUGGUAAAGUGCCCCUGGCUUCAGUCCCCAGUACCAUUAAAAAAAAAAAAAAGUCAAAAAAUAGAAUUCUUUGCCCAGUGGAAACAUUCUUCCAUAAUGAAGAUAAAGAAAAACAUUUGUAGGAAAGCAGAAACUGGAUUUGUCAUCAGAAGAUAUGUACUAAAUGCAUUACUGAAGGGAUUGCUCUUGCUGCGGUCAAGAACAGGGAGGGAUAGUUCAGAGGCCAGGAGACCAGUCCAGAGGUCACUGCAAGAGCAUAGGCAGGAUGUGAUGGUGUCCAGGCCAGAGAGGUGGUCUCAAAUGUGAUGAGAACUUG
rnacentral:lncRNA from 1 species